UGGAUCCAGACUUUGAUUCUGGCUCAGGAUGAACGCUAGCUACAGGCUUAACACAUGCAAGUCGAGGGGCAGCAUGACGAUAGCUUGCUAUUGUUGAUGGCGACUGGCGCACGGGUGAGUAACGCGUAUCCAACCUGCCCUUGUCCAUCGGAUAACCCGUCGAAAGGCGGCCUAACACGAUAUGCAGUUCUCCGCAGGCAUCUAACGAGAACGAAAUGUGAAGGAGAAGGAUGGGGAUGCGUCUGAUUAGCUUGUUGGCGGGGUAACGGCCCACCAAGGCGACGAUCAGUAGGGGUUCUGAGAGGAAGGUCCCCCACAUUGGAACUGAGACACGGUCCAAACUCCUACGGGAGGCAGCAGUGAGGAAUAUUGGUCAAUGGGCGAGAGCCUGAACCAGCCAAGUAGCGUGCAGGACAACGGCCCUAUGGGUUGUAAACUGCUUUUAUGCGGGGAUAAAGUGAGCCACGUGUGGCUUAUUGCAGGUACCGCAUGAAUAAGGACCGGCUAAUUCCGUGCCAGCAGCCGCGGUAAUACGGAAGGUCCGGGCGUUAUCCGGAUUUAUUGGGUUUAAAGGGAGCGUAGGCCGUCUGAUAAGCGUGUUGUGAAAUGUCGGGGCUCAACCUGGGCAUUGCAGCGCGAACUGUGAGACUUGAGUGCGCGGGAAGUAGGCGGAAUUCGUCGUGUAGCGGUGAAAUGCUUAGAUAUGACGAAGAACUCCGAUUGCGAAGGCAGCCUGCUGUAGCGCAACUGACGCUGAAGCUCGAAAGCGUGGGUAUCGAACAGGAUUAGAUACCCUGGUAGUCCACGCGGUAAACGAUGGAUGCUCGCUGUUUGCGUCUGACGUAAGCGGCCAAGCGAAAGCGUUAAGCAUCCCACCUGGGGAGUACGCCAGCAACGGUGCAACUCAAAUGAAUUGACGGA
rnacentral:rRNA from 1 species